UACGGAGGGUGCAAGCGUUAUCCGGAUUCACUGGGUUUAAAGGGUGCGUAGGCGGAUAGGUAAGUCCGUGGUGAAAUCCUGCAGCUUAACUGCAGAACUGCCAUGGAUACUAUCUAUCUUGAAUACUGUGGAGGUCAGCGGAAUAUGUCAUGUAGCGGUGAAAUGCUUAGAUAUGACAUAGAACACCAAUUGCGAAGGCAGCUGGCUACACAAAUAUUGACACUGAGGCACGAAAGCGUGGGGAUCAAACAGG
rnacentral:rRNA from 1 species